CCAGCAGCCGCGGUAAUACGUAGGGUGCAAGCGUUAAUCGGAAUUACUGGGCGUAAAGCGUGCGCAGGCGGUUAUAUAAGUCAGAUGUGAAAUCCCCGGGCUCAACCUGGGCACUGCAUUUGAGACUGUAUGGCUAGAGUGCGUCAGAGGGGGGUAGAAUUCCACGUGUAGCAGUGAAAUGCGUAGAUAUGUGGAGGAACACCGAUGGCGAAGGCAGCCCCCUGGGUCAAAACUGACGCUCAUGCACGAAAGCGUGGGGAGCAAACAGGAUUAGAUACCCUGGUA
rnacentral:rRNA from 1 species